AGGAGAACUGAACGCAGGAGUCCUUUGACUCUAGAGUCUAUGCCUGGCCAUCACUGUGUCCUCCAGAAAGUGAUACAGAGGCAGCAGCAAAGCAGCCCUUCCCAUAACAAGAUUUCAGCAAGUGCUUACCCACCCCUACUGGCCCAGAAGAUUUCACAUAUACACAUGGACGAGUCUAUGGAGACUGUAUUGCUUUUCCAUAUGGGCUGAAAACCCCAAACCCACAGCAUGGAGCACAAUAGAGUGAAAGGCUUAACAGAAGCUGGAGGAGAAGGUACACGUUAUCACAACUACCACAAAAGGAUAAACUGACACCAUGAAUUGCUGCACAGCAGCAUCCUUUUUGUAAGGCUGGUAAUUUCUGACACCAAACAUCACUGAGAAUGUCUUAAUUAGUGUUUAUGUUGAUGGCUGUGUAGGUUUGAGGUGACGUGUCUCUGAGUUUGCAGCAGGGGAGAGGGGGCAGGGCGAAGGGAACAAAAGCAGAUUUUUUUGAUUUGCUGCCCAGAACCACAAAAAUGUCUUUUAAAGAAUCACUCCCUCCUCCAAACAGACUGGGGGGAGAGAUGGAGGAAGAGAGAUUGAAAGAUAGUAAGUUGGAGGAAGGGAGAGAGGGGCAAGGAUGGGGGAAGGUGAGACACACAUACACAGCCAUUUGCAUGUUUUACUGGGUCUUUGAUUUCAAUGUAUUUACAACCUUAAGGCUAACACCCCAGUGGGAAGUUCUGAAGAUUACUGUAUUUGCAAUCUCUUUAGCUUCAGGUCUGUAUCAAAAGAUCUGUCUGUCUCACUUCCAGCCGGCCUUUUAGCAAGCUGUAUCUAGGUUAUGUACCAGCCUGAUCUAGAGGAGACACUAAACCAAGACCUCACCUGCCCUCUGGGAGUGACUCAGGUGAAAAAUAAACAACCAUUGCCAUAUCUCUUUUCAGAAAGAGUGAGGGUCCCCUUUUUACAGCCCUGCAACAAUGGAAGUCAGAUUCUAACAUCCACAGUUGCCCCUAACACUCCAGGACGCUGUUACUUCCUCCUUUAGGUCUCCCCAGAGGCCUGGCCCUUUGCUUUUAUGAAUCUUUAUGUAUAAUCACCUCUCUAAGAAUCAGUUUAUGAUUUUAAAGGCACUACAUAGUACAUACACAUAAAACACGUGAAAUUGUAGUGUCCACAGCUUUCCAGAAUCCAAUGCGUUUUCCUCCCAAAUCACUGACCCAGGAUUAACAUAGAUCUUGCUGGGAUACCUUGAAUCCCUUAGUGAGAACCUACUUUCAUUCCUGUCUAAAAUGCAUUUUCCUUGGGGUAGCUCAUUCCUUUGUUUUCUCCCAGCUUUAAAGAUCUUGCUGGAGCAUUUCUGUGGUCAGACUGGAUGGUUUCCGGGAGAGCUCAAGGUUUUCUGUGUCUCACCCUGUUUACCACAGGAAAUGGGGAAAUGUGAGACAGAUAUAUGCAUUUCUAAAAUGGGCAUUAUGACAGAGAUUCUGACUGGCUGCUGAGGGUUCCUUCUGUGCACAUAUACUAUAAGAUCCCCAACUUCCCAGGGUCAGAUUUCUGCCAGCCCUAACAAAAUACACAAUGAUGAGCUAUGUUUCAUAGUUGGUGGAGAUGUGAUGUGUAAUGCGCCACACCCCAGGAUCCCACUUACACAUUCACCAGUCUCCACAUUAUUCAACAACUAUGUGAGAGAUAGGUAUAUCCCAGUCUUUACACAUAAGAAUGCUGUGGUUACUGAACUGCCCAUCUCUCUCAGCUUCCCCUGCCCAAAUCUCUCCAUGUUCCUAUGAGUCUCCUCUUCCUCUUUCUUGCUCUUCCUCCUUGUCUGCUUCCCCUUUUCAUCUCUGUGAGCUGUACACUGUUAAAUGGUGAGGCUGUGAUUUCAGCCAGUGCGGAGUGGUGAGCUAGGGACAUUAUCUGAGGUGACAUCAACUCCCCUUUUCAGCCUCUACCCCAUUUCAAGUCAUUUGCCUCCUGGACUCCAAUGGUGCAAAAUUACUCCUCUCCUCCUAGCUAAAUGGAUCAGAGAGACUCAUAUAUAGUGGCUGGGACUAUGGCAUAGGUAGAUAACGAAGGUCAACUGUUUUUUUGUCAGGCUUUCAGGGUACCAAACUCUAUCUAUCAAGUUCCAUAAGCCCUAGUUUUGAAAGCAUGACUUCCAGUGAUUGCAUUUCUGCUGGAAGAAACCAUCUUUUAGAGGUAUUUCAAGAUCCAGCAAGGAUUUGUCACAUUAUGGAAAAGAGCCUGCCAUCAAUACACUGCUGUUCACUGGUCAAAGAGCCACUGACCCGCACGGGUUUAAGUGGCAGCAUCAUUCCAAAACCCAUUCACUUACCCCAAUUAGCACUCUGGAGAAAGGAGAUAAUGAGUGCUCUUCCAAAUGCCCUUUUCAGCAUGGUUGGUCAGUGUGAAUCUCAUAACCUCCUUCCAAAAGUCAACCAGUGCCCAUAAUUCACCCAGUAUUUUCACUUCCUCUGACUUUGCUAAGUUGUGGCUAGGGAAGAAUAAAUCAUCUGAAGAAUUUGUUCUUAUUCUGGCUGUGAAUUUGCGCAAGCAUCAUGAAUUUCUCAAUUUUAAUCAUCACUCAAAAUUAUUUGCCAGGAGAUUUUUGAGGAUAAUUCUUGAAAUCAAGCUGGUUUGUGAGCAAAUCACUGAGUGUUCGGUAUUAGUGCUUGAAGUUCUACUCUGUGCGAUUUGCUUUGAUUGGACAUAGUUCACACAGCAUUGUUUCGGUUCCACGACUGGUUGAGCAUAACUCUUCUGAUCAGGUUUCCAGCCAGAGUACUCACUGACUUCAUCUAGUUCAAAUGCUCUUUAGAAUUAUACAUUUUUUCACCUAUUUCUGCCAGGGACCAUAUCCUUUAGGAUCUUUGUGGGAAACAAAAAAAUCUAAAGCAAAUGCCAUUUUCAUUUGUGUACCUGUUUGUGGACAUUCUUCCUGUCUCUAAAUGUGAGGCGACCUCAAACAACAUCAGGAAUCCAAACCUGUCUGGAAGCCAGAGUUUGUGGAGUUGUGUAAAAAACUGUUGCCUGGAAGUCUUCCGUUUGGUUCCCCUCUCUUCCAAAGACUAGACAUCGCUCCACAGGAUACAUCUCUACUGCUUCAAUCUUACUUUGCAUUGUUCUCCCUACCAUUACUUAAACCUUGUUCUAUAAUAUCUCUACAAUGAAAAGCAAUUAAGGAGCUCAGUGAGCAGCAUGUAUUUUAAGCAGUGCCUCUUAAAGUAUGUCCAGUUGAGAUAAGACAUGCCUUCAAAUCAUGGUAAAAUGGGAGCUUGUAACACAAGCUGCAGGCAGAGCAGAGCUGGGACCUGUACACAGUGACAUCACAUCAAAGCUUUCAGCAAGGAUGCUGCACUUCCCUCAGCCCGCUUACAGAAGGGAACAAGACCUUGACCCAACCUCAUUUCCAAUCUAGGGUGGAGGGAUCACAGUGAUAAAAGGCAUCCCCCAAUUGUAUUACCAAGGUACUCCUAAAAGUAAAGACAGGAGCACAAGCAUCACCGCCCUUACCAGCACUACCUAACCAUCCCCCAACAAGGAGCAGAAUAUACAUAGUACAAUGCAUACAGCUUUCUUUUUCUAUAUAAACUGGCCCAGCUGCAAUUCCAGAGUCCCUGCAUGAAGAGAUCACCAGAGCUGCUUGCUCAUCUUUUCAGUGGGGUUUCCUUACUCCAUGUUUUUCUCUUCUGCUUUUUGUCUGAUUUAGCUGUAUCUUCUGUUCACUCCAUCCCCUAGCACAGCACUCAGUUCUCCUUACACAUCACACCAUGCUCCUUGUUAACCUCAUUCACCCACAAAGGGGCCCCACUACUGAUGAUAAAACACUUUCCCCAGAGCCUCCCAGCUUUCUUCAGUUGCCUCAGGACCUUAUAAAUCCCCUCCUCCCCUCCCCCCAGAGGCUCCCCCUUUCUAUGCCCAGACUUGCUGUAAUAAGAAAACACUGUAAUUAGCAA